AUGGUAAGUCUGGGCCAAAAACCGACCGUUACUACCUACAGCAUUUUGCUCCAUGGGUAUGCUAUGGAGCAAUCUUUUCAUGAGAUGCAUUGUCUCAUUGAUUUGAUGGUGGGAAAUGGUAUUGCGCCAAAUCAUUUUGUCUACAACAUACUCAUAUCUGCAUAUGCUCAAGAAGAAACGGUUGGUGAGGUAAUGCAUAUAUUUACAAAAAUGCGGCAGGAAGGAUUGAACCCUGAUGUUGCGAACUAUGGAGCGGUAAUAAACUUGCUUUCUAGUAUUGGCCGAAUGGAUGAUGCUAUGUCCCAAUACAAUCAAAUGAUAACUGAAGGAUUACUCCCUGGUAUCAUAGUUUUCACCCCCCUUAUUAGUGGUUUUUGUUCUUGUGGCAAAUGGGAGAAGGUUGAUGAACUAUUUUCUGAGAUGUUGGAUCGCGGCAUCUGUCCCGACACAGUGUUCUUCAACACUGUUAUGGAUCACCUUUGCAAAAAUGGAAGGGUUAUAGAAGCCCAGGAUCUCUUCGACCUGAUGGUACACAUGGGUGUGAAGCCUUUUGUCCGUGAUUACAACACACUGAUACAUGGAUACUGUUUAGUUGGUAAGAUGGAUGAAGGGAGGAAGUUACUUGACAAUAUGUGCUCAAUUGGCUUGAAACCGGAUGAUUUCACCUAUAGCAUACUGAUUGAUGGUUACUCUAUGAAGGGAAGGAUAGGUGAUGCAUUGAUUGUUGUCAGGGAAAUGUUGGACAGGAAGGUUAAACCUUCUAUUAUCACUUUUAAUAUUAUGAUUGGUGCGUUGCUUAAAGGUGGCAGAAAGGAAGAAGCCAAAGAUUUGUUUGAUGGUAUCUGGGCCAAAGGAUUAGUGCCUGACGUUGUUACAUAUAGAUUAAUGAUACAAAAGCUUAUAGAAGAAGGUUCUCUACAAGAUUCUGAUGAUCUAUUCCUUUCUAUGGAGAAGAAUGGAUGUGUUGCCGACUCCCGUAUGCUAAAUGCUAUAGUUAGAAGCUUACUUCAGAAAGGGGACGUGCCGAGGGCUGGGACUUAUCUGUCUAAAAUUGAUGAGAGGAGGUUCACCUUUGAAGCUUCCACUGCUAGCUUAUUGACUUCACUUGCGUCAGGGGGGAAAGGCCAGGAAUAUAAGGAGUUACUCCCUGAAGAAUACCACUCUUUUCUGGAACAGGGCACUGGUUGA
rnacentral:rRNA from 1 species